rnacentral:rRNA from 1 species
GAUGAACGCUAGCGGGAGGCUUAACACAUGCAGGUCGAGGGGUAUUGUAGCAAUACAUUAGACCGGCGCACGGGUGAGUAACGCGUAUGCAACCUGCCGUUAACCGGGGGAUAGCCCGUCGAAAGGCGGAUUAAUACCCCAUAAUAUUGGGAUUCUGCAUGGGAUCUCAAUUAAAGCUGAGGUGGUUAACGAUGGGCAUGCGUGACAUUAGCUAGUUGGUAGGGUAACGGCCUACCAAGGCUACGAUGUCUAGGGGUUCUGAGAGGAAGGUCCCCCACACUGGUACUGAGACACGGACCAGACUCCUACGGGAGGCAGCAGUGAGGAAUAUUGGUCAAUGGGCGAGAGCCUGAACCAGCCAUCCCGCGUGCAGGAAGACGGCCCUAUGGGUUGUAAACUGCUUUUGCGCAUGUAGAAUGUUACCGACGUGUCGGUAAGUGACGGUAAUGCGUGAAUAAGCAUCGGCUAACUCCGUGCCAGCCGCCGCAGUAAAAC